rnacentral:rRNA from 1 species
AAGACCUUGCACUUUUGGAGCGGCCGAUGUCUGAUUAGCUAGUUGGUGGGGUAAUGGCCUACCAAAGCUUCGAUCAGUAGCUGGUCUGAGAGGACGGCCAGCCACACUGGGACUGAGACACGGCCCAGACUCCUACGGGAGGCAGCAGUGGGGAAUUGUGGACAAUGGGCGCAAGCCUGAUCCAGCCAUGCCGCGUGAGUGAAGAAGGCCUUCGGGUUGUAAAGCUCUUUCAGCCGGGAAGAAAAGGUUGCGAUUAAUAAUCGCAAUUUAUGACGGUACCGGAAGAAGAAGCACCGGCUAACUACGUGCCAGCAGCCGCGGUAAUACGUAGGGUGCGAGCGUUAAUCGGAAUUACUGGGCGUAAAGGGUGCGCAGGCGGUUUUGUAAGUCAGAUGUGAAAUCCCCGGGCUUAACCUGGGAACU